UACGUAGGUGGCAAGCGUUGUCCGGAUUUACUGGGCGUAAAGAGCGCGCAGGCGGUCGUUCAAGUCGAGUGUGAAAGCCCCCGGCUCAACUGGGGAGGGUCACUCGAUACUGAUCGACUCGAAGGCAGGAGAGGGAAGUGGAAUUCCCGGUGUAGUGGUGAAAUGCGUAGAUAUCGGGAGGAACACCAGUGGCGAAGGCGACUUCCUGGCCUGUUCUUGACGCUGAGGCGCGAAAGCUAGGGGAGCAAACGGGG
rnacentral:rRNA from 1 species